CCCAGACUCCUACGGGAGGCAGCAGUGGGGAAUCUUGCACAAUGGGCGAAAGCCUGAUGCAGCGACGCCGCGUGGGCGAAGAAGGCCUUUGGGCCGUAAAGCCCUGUCGGGAGGGAAGAAGGAAGCGACGGUACCUCCCAAGGAAGCCCCGGCUAACUACGUGCCAGCAGCCGCGGUAACACGUAGGGGGCGAGCGUUAUCCGGAUUUACUGGGUGUAAAGGGAGCGUAGACGGCGAUGCAAGUCUGAAGUGAAAGGCGGGGGCCCAACCCCCGGACUGCUUUGGAAACUGUAUAGCUGGAGUGCAGGAGAGGUAAGUGGAAUUCCUAGUGUAGCGGUGAAAUGCGUAGAUAUUAGGAGGAACACCAGUGGCGAAGGCGGCUUACUGGACUGUAACUGACGUUGAGGCUCGAAAGCGUGGGGAGCAAACAGGAUUAGAUACCCGAGUAU
rnacentral:rRNA from 1 species